UACGAAGGGGGCUAGCGUUGUUCGGAAUUACUGGGCGUAAAGCGUGCGCAGGCGGCUGCUCAAGUCAGGGGUGAAAGCCCAGAGCUCAACUCUGGAACUGCCUUUGAGACUGAGUGGCUUGAGUACGGGAGAGGUGGAGUGGAAUUCCCAGUGUAGAGGUGAAAUUCGUAAGAUAUUGGGAAGAACACCGGUGGCGAAGGCGGCUCACUGGCCCGUAACUGACGCUCAUGCAC
rnacentral:rRNA from 1 species